GUCAGGAUGGCCGAAGGGUCCGCGCUGCGUUCAGGUCGCAGUCUUCCCCUGGAGCGCGGGGGUUCAAAUCCCAUUUCUGACA